AGAGAGAGAGAGAGAGAGAGAGAGAGAGAGAGAGAGAGAAGGCUUCGAAUCGGUGUUGUAACGAAUCUGGGGAGGACUCAUCGUGUAAAUCAUACACGGAAUCCCCCUAAAUUUUCCAAAAUCUUCAUUACCAAAAGGAAAGUCUGUGAUUUCGAUCGAAAUGAGAUUUACUAGUAUCGUAUUCCCCUUUCAACUUUUUAUUAACGACGAUUCAAAGAAGGAGAAGAAAAAAGGAUAUGGAAGGAAAAGAAAAUGGAUGGUAAAUAUAUAUGUCGGAGAGCAAAUCGAUCGAUGGGAGGAGAAGAAGGUUGAAAUCCGUUUGAACUCAUACGAUCGCUAUUCGUUAGCCAUCUGGACUGUAACAAAUUUGUAAUGGCAGAAUAAACUGCAUGUUUGCAAGUGAUUACGCCAAUUAUGGGUAAUACCGUCGUGCACAUCUACGGCUGUUUAUAUUUGACGCAAUCGUACGUGCCUUUACUCGUAUGCUUUCAGAUACGACUACAGCGUGGCCUGCACCCAACCCAUGCGAACAAGCCCGUACCUAAAUCAACAACCGCGGCCUACGCGUUCGAACCAAUCCUGCGGUAUACCGCAUGCGAAAAAAGGAAGGCCAAUGACAACGUCGUUGUCGUCGUCGUCGUCGUCGUCGUCGUCGUCGUCGUCGUCGUUGCCGUCGCCGUCGCUGCCGUUGUCAUAGUACUCGCCAUGUUUUUACUCUCCAGUCGUUAAACCGAAGAUAUGCACAAAACUACGGACAAUUAGAUAUAACGUCGGCUUUCUAAACGUAUCUCGUUUUAUGCAAAGAAAGAGCAUAAGCGUUGAAAAUCAGGUAUAGUUUGAAUGACGUCGCUUAUUAGAAUUAAAUAACUUUUUCUUUAGCAAAUGAACAUACUCGGAAAGAACCGAAUAGAAUUUGACAGAUAACAUGCGAAAAACUAGAAUUAUUACAUCUGGUAGGCAGGAAUUAUCGUUUCGUAGCUUCACGCUCGAGGUACGUCGUAGGUCCAAUUGUAAUAUUGUAAUUAUACUUCGCACCGUGGCAUUAUUAAGGUUACUCGCGCAAUACGCUACAAGGCCAAUGCCUCUCUUGGAAGGCGUGGCAUCGGCUCAAAUUAUACCUAGCCUCCUCUUCCUGGACGAGAAAAUGAAUAAAAGCCGUCUCUUUUCUCCCCUUUUAAGGACUAUACCGUCGUGCGUGUAUGCUUCGCGUUAUUUGCGGAUAAUGACAAAUGGACACAGACCUCGUCACAAAGCUCGUUACAAAGAGUUCUUAGAAAUGACAUUUAGAUAUAAACUUUGUUGUUACGGCGAUUGUUAUCAUUUUUCCCAAAGGGUAACGAUACUUUUUGAAAAAUUAACAAAUUAGAAAGGA